CCUACGGGAGCAGCAGUGAGGAAUUUUCCGCAAUGGGCGAAAGCCUGACGGAGCAAUGCCGCGUGGAGGAGGAAGGCCUGUGGGUCGUAAACUCCUUUUCUCAGAGAAGAAGUUCUGACGGUAUCUGAGGAAUAAGCAUCGGCUAACUCUGUGCCAGCAGCCGCGGUAAUACAGGGGAUGCAAGCGUUAUCCGGAAUUAUUGGGCGUAAAGCGUCCUGAGGUGGCUUACCCAGUCGACUGUGAAAGCUCAAGGCUUAACCUUGAAACGGCAGUCGAAACUUGUAAGCUUGAGUACGGUAGGGGCAGAGGGAAUUCCCGGAGGAGAGGUGAAAUUCGUAGAUAUCGGGAGGAAGGCCAAAGGCGAAAGCACUCUGCUGGGCCGAUUACUGACACUGACAGACGAAAGCUAGGGGAGCGAAAGGGAUUAGAUACCCCUGUAGUCCUAGCCGUAAACGAUGGAUACUAAGUGUUGCGCGACUCAAAACGUGCAGUGCUGCAGCUAACGCGGUAAGUAUCCCGCCUGGGGAGUAUGCCCGCAAGGGUGAAACUUAAAUGAAUUGACGG
rnacentral:rRNA from 1 species